AGAGUUUGAUCUUGGCUCAGAAUCAACGCUGGCGGCGUGCCUCAGACAUGCAAGUCGAACGAUUAAAGCUCUCUUCGGAGAGUGUAUAGAGUGGCGCACGGGUGAGUAACACGUAAGUAAUCUACCCUCGAGUGGGGAAUAACAUCGGGAAACCGAUGCUAAUACCGCAUAACGCAGCGGCACCGCACGGUGACAGUUGUUAAAGGAGUAAUUCGCUUGAGGAGGAGCUUGCGGCAGAUUAGCUAGUUGGUAAGGUAACGGCUUACCAAGGCUACGAUCUGUAUCCGGUCUAAGAGGACGGUCGGACACACUGACACUGAAUAACGGGUCAGACUCCUACGGGAGGCAGCAGUCGGGAAUUUUGGGCAAUGGGCGAAAGCCUGACCCAGCAACGCCGCGUGAAGGAUGAAGUAUUUCGGUAUGUAAACUUCGAAAGAAUGGGAAGAAUAAAUGACGGUACCAUUUAUAAGCUCCGGCUAACUACGUGCCAGCAGCCGCGGUAAUACGUAGGGAGCAAGCGUUGUUCGGAUUUACUGGGCGUAAAGGGCGCGUAGGCGGCGCGGUAAGUCACUUGUGAAAUCUCUGAGCUUACUCAGACGGCCAAGUGAUACUGCAGUGCUAGAGUGCAGAAGGGCAUCGGAUUCUUGGUGUAGCGGUGAAAUGCGUAGAUAUC
rnacentral:rRNA from 1 species